CAGAUCAGUUAAUCAUGAUGCGCCAUAUCUCAUUUCACCCUUUUGGAGCUCUUUAUUUUCCACUGCAGGGACGUUCCUCUUGGGAAUAAUGAUUAGUAUUGCCACUGGCGAGCACAAGCGACUUCCGGCCGACUUCAGGUAUCUGAACCCUUCGCUGGCCAAGAUGUGGGUGAAGCUUCACGUUAUACGGGACAGUGACGCAGAAGAGGCACAGCCGGAGAAUGAGCAAGAAACAACGAAUGCCGCCCUUGUUUCUAAUGGAGAGGAAAUGAGGCGUGCUUCCACGA
rnacentral:lncRNA from 1 species